UACGGGGGGGGCAAGCGUUGUUCGGAAUUACUGGGCGUAAAGGGUUCGUAGGUGGCCUGCUAAGUCAGACGUGAAAUCCCUCGGCUCAACCGGGGAACUGCGUCUGAGACUGGCGGGCUCGAGGACAGGAGAGGAACGCGGAAUUCCAGGUGUAGCGGUGAAAUGCGUAGAUAUCUGGAGGAACACCGGUGGCGAAGGCGGCAUCCUGGACCGGCAUUGACGCUGAGGCGCGAAAGCCAGGGGAGCAAACGGG
rnacentral:rRNA from 1 species